GCCGAAGUCAUACAGCUACUUAGGGGCAAACCUAGGAUUUGAAUCCAGGUCUGACUUCAGAAGACUCUGGUUUCCAAUAUAGCAUAAUUUAUCACUUGUGAAAUUCAGGUGGCACUGAGAGUGACCGUACAAUUUUUUAUCCUAUUUUUCUUUUACUAAUUCAAGUUUACAGGCCAUGUCAUUUCCAGAUUACCAGCUUCAGAAAGUUCUUAAGUCAUUGAAGUCCCCAGGAUUCAAAGACAGUGCCUAUCAAAAAUGGGGCCCACCUUGCAUUGGGUAGAGGAGGAGGAGGAGACUGGCAGGUGAUCCUGCCUCAUUUCCUCAAACUCUGUUUAAUACAAACGCCAAAGUUUGACAUUUCUGACCGCUUUACUUUCUUUGGCAACUUCAACUCUGACGAGAGAGUAAGAAAUAUGUCUCCCCUUGACAGGAACAAGGUGUGCAGUGAAGGACCUCGGGUGCUGUGCUGCAUUUUGACAGUUCCUUAGAAGAAAGCACUCCUGCCUGUUCUAUUCAAUCCCAGUCCAGUAUUUGAGUCUGCACGAUGCCACCACUUGGAGUCUCCUGUGCUGGCACCUACAUUGCAAAGCUCUGUGGUAUCUAUACUGAAGUGGACCAGUAGGCUACCUAUGAGCAGAAAGGUGAUCCUGGGCCACACUGAAAAACACUGGGGCAGGAAUAAGCCAGCAAGUGUAUGAGAUACAUCUGGUGUGAAUGGUAAUUCAUCUAGUUUCUUAAACUAGUAUUAUGGGCUAAAUUGUGACCCCCACCCCCGAAUUUAUACAUUGAAGUCCUCACCCCCAAUACCUCAGAAUGUGACCGCAUUUGGAGUUAGGGCCUUUAAGGAGGCAUUUAAAUGAAAAUAAGGUCAUUGGGGUGGACCCUGAUCCAAUAUGACUGGUGACCUUAUAGGGAGAGAAGAUUAGGACACGCACACCAAGGAAAGAGAAUGUGAAGACACAGUACGUAGACAGCCAUCUGCAAACCAAGGAGAGGAGACCUCAGGAUUUAGGAAUUUAAGAAAGAUAAUACAGUGCACGUGUUAUGGCUGCAUAACAUCCUGUAGCAUCUACAACAGUAUCCUGCAAUCAAAUGUGCUAAUGUGUCUGUAGUGAGAUGUAUAUGUUGCAUAAAUAAAGCCUAUAAGUAGCCAUGUAUCAUCUUAAGACAGAUUUUUGUGCCAAAUGAAUUUGUUUCAGGUCAAGUUUUGCUGCCAAAUGAGUUAUAAAUACAAUCUUUGGUAUUCAGAGCUUUUAGGGCUUGCUUUGAAAUGGUGGACCUUUAGUAUCCCUGCCUUACAGAUGAAGAAACUGAGACUCAAGGAGAUAAAACACCUUAUCCACUAUUAUUAACCCAUGGGAGGUGGGACUAGGCUACCGGCCCAGGCAGCCUGGCUUCAGAGUCUGUGCCCUUCACGUCCACCUGGCUGCACCCUUCGGUACCACCUGCCUGCCAGCAUUGGACCUGCCACAGAAUUUCACACCAAGCUCGUGGCCUUGCUGUGAGGACCAGACACAGAGAGUGCAGGUAGAGUUCUGUGAUGGGUUGAAUUGUCUUUCUCCCCCCAAAUUCAUAUGUUGAAGUCCUAACCCUAGUACCUCAGAAUUUAACCUUAUAUGGAGACAGGGUCUUUGCAGAUAUAAUUAGUUGAAUUACAAUGAGGCUAUUAAGAUGGGCCCUAAUUCAAUAUGGCUGGUGUCCUUUUUUAAAAAAGAAAUUUGGGGGCACCUGGGUGGCUCAGUCCAUUGAGCAUCUGACUCUUGAUUUUGGCUCGGGUUGUGAUCCC